GUACUUUCAAUAAGGAAGAAGUAAUAAAAUAUAAUAUAUUUUAUUAUUGACGUUACUUAUAAAAGAAGCACCGGCUAACUCCGUGCCAGCAGCCGCGGUAAUACGGAGGGUGCUAGCGUUAAUCGGAAUUACUGGGCGUAAAGAGCACGUAGGCGGUUUAUUAAGUCAGAUGUGAAAUCCCUAAGCUUAACUUAGGAACUGCAUUUGAAACUAAUUUACUUGAGUAUCAUAGAGGGGAGUAGAAUUCCAGGUGUAGCGGUGAAAUGCGUAGAUAUCUGGAGGAAUACCAGUGGCGAAGGCGACUCCCUGGAUGAAUGCUGACGCUCAGGUGCGAAAGCAUGGGUAGCAAACAGGAUUAGAUACCCUGGUAGUCCAUGCUGUAAACGAUGUCGACUUGGAGGUUGUAAGCUUGUCUUGUAGCUUCCGUAGCUAACGCGUUAAGUCGACCGCCUGGGGAGUACGACCGCAAGGUUAAAACUCAAAUGAAUUGACGGGGGCCCGCACAAGCGGUGGAGCAUGUGGUUUAAUUCGAUGCAACGCGAAAAACCUUACCUGGUCUUGACAUCCAUGGAAUUUAAUAGAGAUAUUUUAGUGCCUUCGGGAACCAUGAGACAGGUGCUGCAUGGCUGUCGUCAGCUCGUGUUGUGAAAUGUUGGGUUAAGUCCCGCAACGAGCGCAACCCUUGUCCUUUGUUGCCAACGGUUCGGCCGGGAACUCAAAGGAGACUGCUGGUGAUAAGCCGGAGGAAGGUGGGGAUGACGUCAAGUCAUCAUGGCCCUUACGACCAGGGCUACACACGUGCUACAAUGGUAUAUACAAAGGGAAGCAUCCUCGCAAGAGUAAGCGGAUCUCAUAAAAUAUAUCUUAGUUCGGAUUGGAGUCUGCAACUCGACUCUAUGAAGUCGGAAUCGCUAGUAAUCGUAGAUCAGAAUGCUACGGUGAAUACGUUCCCGGGCCUUGUACACACCGCCCGUCACACCAUGGGAGUGGGUUGUAAAAGAAGUAGGUUGCUUAACCUUACGGAGAGCGCUUACCACUUUGUGAUUCAUAACUGGGGU
rnacentral:rRNA from 1 species